CACGUAGGGGGCAAGCGUUGUCCGGAUUUAUUGGGCGUAAAGAGCUCGUAGGCGGUUCGAUAAGUCGGGUGUGAAACCUCCAGGCUCAACCUGGAGACGCCACCCGAUACUGUUGUGACUGGAGUCCGGUAGGGGAGCGUGGAAUUCCUGGUGUAGCGGUGAAAUGCGCAGAUAUCAGGAGGAACACCAAUUGCGAAGGCAGCUCGCUGGGACGUUACUGACGCUGAGACGCGAAAGCGUGGGGAGCAAACAGG
rnacentral:rRNA from 1 species